rnacentral:rRNA from 1 species
ACGUAGGGGGCAAGCGUUGUCCGGAAUCACUGGGCGUAAAGCGCGCGCAGGCGGUGGAGUAAGUCAGACGUGAAAGGGUUCGGCUCAACCGAACCAUUGCGUUUGAAACUACCUCACUUGAGUCUAGAAGAGGAAAGUGGAAUGUAUGGUGUAGCGGUGGAAUGCUUAGAUAUCAUAUAGAACACCCGUGGCGAAGGCGGCUUUCUGGUCUAAGACUGACGCUCAUGCGCGAAAGUUUGGGGAGCAACCGGG